rnacentral:rRNA from 1 species
ACGGGUGAGUAACACGUGGGAACGUACCCUUCGGUUCGGAAUAACUCAGGGAAACUUGAGCUAAUACCGGAUACGCCCUUUUGGGGAAAGGUUUACUGCCGAAGGAUCGGCCCGCGUCUGAUUAGCUUGUUGGUGGGGUAACGGCCUACCAAGGCGACGAUCAGUAGCUGGUCUGAGAGGAUGAUCAGCCACACUGGGACUGAGACACGGCCCAGACUCCUACGGGAGGCAGCAGUGGGGAAUAUUGGACAAUGGGCGCGAGCCUGAUCCAGCCAUGCCGCGUGAGUGAUGAAGGCCUUAGGGUUGUACAGCUCUUUUGUCCGGGACGAUAAUGACGGUACCGGAAGAAUAAGCCCCGGCUAACUUCGUGCCAGCAGCCGCGGUAAUACGAAGGGGGCUAGCGUUGCUCGGAAUCACUGGGCGUAAAGGGCGCGUAGGCGGCCGAUUAAGUCGGGGGUGAAAGCCUGUGGCUCAACCACAGAAUUGCCUUCGAUACUGGUUGGCUUGAGACCGGAAGAGGACAGCGGAACUGCGAGUGUAGAGGUGAAAUUCGUAGA